rnacentral:rRNA from 1 species
GGACGCUUUUGGGGCUUCGGCCUCAAGGGAGUGGCGGACGGGUGAGUAGCGCGUGGGAACCUGCCUUGGAGUGGGGGAUAACCGAGGGAAACUUCGGCUAAUACCGCAUGCGCCCCGGCGCGAGCCGGGGGAAAGAUUGAUCGCUCUAAGAGGGGCCCGCGUCGGAUUAGGUAGUUGGUGGGGUAACGGCCUACCAAGCCUGUGAUCCGUAGCUGGUCUGAGAGGAUGAUCAGCCACACUGGGACUGAGACACGGCCCAGACUCCUACGGGAGGCAGCAGUGGGGAAUAUUGGACAAUGGGCGCAAGCCUGAUCCAGCAAUGCCGCGUGAGUGAUGAAGGCCUUAGGGUUGUAAAGCUCUUUCGGCGGGGACGAUGAUGACGGUACCCGCAGAAGAAGCCCCGGCUAACUUCGUG